UUAAGCGACUAAGCGUACACGGUGGAUGCCCUGGCAGUCAGAGGCGAUGAAGGACGUGCUAAUCUGCGAUAAGCGUCGGUAAGGUGAUAUGAACCGUUAUAACCGGCGAUUUCCGAAUGGGGAAACCCAGUGUGAUUCGUCACACUAUCAUUAACUGAAUCCAUAGGUUAAUGAGGCGAACCGGGGGAACUGAAACAUCUAAGUACCCCGAGGAAAAGAAAUCAACCGAGAUUCCCCCAGUAGCGGCGAGCGAACGGGGAGCAGCCCAGAGCCUGAAUCAGUGUGUGUGUUAGUGGAAGCGUCUGGAAAGGCGCGCGAUACAGGGUGACAGCCCCGUACACAAAAAUGCACAUACUGUGAGCUCGAUGAGUAGGGCGGGACACGUGGUAUCCUGUCUGAAUAUGGGGGGACCAUCCUCCAAGGCUAAAUACUCCUGACUGACCGAUAGUGAACCAGUACCGUGAGGGAAAGGCGAAAAGAACCCCGGCGAGGGGAGUGAAAAAGAACCUGAAACCGUGUACGUACAAGCAGUGGGAGCACGCUUAGGCGUGUGACUGCGUACCUUUUGUAUAAUGGGUCAGCGACUUAUAUUCUGUAGCAAGGUUAACCGAAUAGGGGAGCCGAAGGGAAACCGAGUCUUAACUGGGCGUUAAGUUGCAGGGUAUAGACCCGAAACCCGGUGAUCUAGCCAUGGGCAGGUUGAAGGUUGGGUAACACUAACUGGAGGACCGAACCGACUAAUGUUGAAAAAUUAGCGGAUGACUUGUGGCUGGGGGUGAAAGGCCAAUCAAACCGGGAGAUAGCUGGUUCUCCCCGAAAGCUAUUUAGGUAGCGCCUCGUGAAUUCAUCUCCGGGGGUAGAGCACUGUUUCGGCAAGGGGGUCAUCCCGACUUACCAACCCGAUGCAAACUGCGAAUACCGGAGAAUGUUAUCACGGGAGACACACGGCGGGUGCUAACGUCCGUCGUGAAGAGGGAAACAACCCAGACCGCCAGCUAAGGUCCCAAAGUCAUGGUUAAGUGGGAAACGAUGUGGGAAGGCCCAGACAGCCAGGAUGUUGGCUUAGAAGCAGCCAUCAUUUAAAGAAAGCGUAAUAGCUCACUGGUCGAGUCGGCCUGCGCGGAAGAUGUAACGGGGCUAAACCAUGCACCGAAGCUGCGGCAGCGACGCUUAUGCGUUGUUGGGUAGGGGAGCGUUCUGUAAGCCUGCGAAGGUGUGCUGUGAGGCAUGCUGGAGGUAUCAGAAGUGCGAAUGCUGACAUAAGUAACGAUAAAGCGGGUGAAAAGCCCGCUCGCCGGAAGACCAAGGGUUCCUGUCCAACGUUAAUCGGGGCAGGGUGAGUCGACCCCUAAGGCGAGGCCGAAAGGCGUAGUCGAUGGGAAACAGGUUAAUAUUCCUGUACUUGGUGUUACUGCGAAGGGGGGACGGAGAAGGCUAUGUUGGCCGGGCGACGGUUGUCCCGGUUUAAGCGUGUAGGCUGGUUUUCCAGGCAAAUCCGGAAAAUCAAGGCUGAGGCGUGAUGACGAGGCACUACGGUGCUGAAGCAACAAAUGCCCUGCUUCCAGGAAAAGCCUCUAAGCAUCAGGUAACAUCAAAUCGUACCCCAAACCGACACAGGUGGUCAGGUAGAGAAUACCAAGGCGCUUGAGAGAACUCGGGUGAAGGAACUAGGCAAAAUGGUGCCGUAACUUCGGGAGAAGGCACGCUGAUAUGUAGGUGAAGUCCCUCGCGGAUGGAGCUGAAAUCAGUCGAAGAUACCAGCUGGCUGCAACUGUUUAUUAAAAACACAGCACUGUGCAAACACGAAAGUGGACGUAUACGGUGUGACGCCUGCCCGGUGCCGGAAGGUUAAUUGAUGGGGUUAGCGCAAGCGAAGCUCUUGAUCGAAGCCCCGGUAAACGGCGGCCGUAACUAUAACGGUCCUAAGGUAGCGAAAUUCCUUGUCGGGUAAGUUCCGACCUGCACGAAUGGCGUAAUGAUGGCCAGGCUGUCUCCACCCGAGACUCAGUGAAAUUGAACUCGCUGUGAAGAUGCAGUGUACCCGCGGCAAGACGGAAAGACCCCGUGAACCUUUACUAUAGCUUGACACUGAACAUUGAGCCUUGAUGUGUAGGAUAGGUGGGAGGCUUUGAAGUGUGGACGCCAGUCUGCAUGGAGCCGACCUUGAAAUACCACCCUUUAAUGUUUGAUGUUCUAACGUUGACCCGUGAUCCGGGUUGCGGACAGUGUCUGGUGGGUAGUUUGACUGGGGCGGUCUCCUCCUAAAGAGUAACGGAGGAGCACGAAGGUUGGCUAAUCCUGGUCGGACAUCAGGAGGUUAGUGCAAUGGCAUAAGCCAGCUUGACUGCGAGCGUGACGGCGCGAGCAGGUGCGAAAGCAGGUCAUAGUGAUCCGGUGGUUCUGAAUGGAAGGGCCAUCGCUCAACGGAUAAAAGGUACUCCGGGGAUAACAGGCUGAUACCGCCCAAGAGUUCAUAUCGACGGCGGUGUUUGGCACCUCGAUGUCGGCUCAUCACAUCCUGGGGCUGAAGUAGGUCCCAAGGGUAUGGCUGUUCGCCAUUUAAAGUGGUACGCGAGCUGGGUUUAGAACGUCGUGAGACAGUUCGGUCCCUAUCUGCCGUGGGCGCUGGAGAACUGAGGGGGGCUGCUCCUAGUACGAGAGGACCGGAGUGGACGCAUCACUGGUGUUCGGGUUGUCAUGCCAAUGGCACUGCCCGGUAGCUAAAUGCGGAAGAGAUAAGUGCUGAAAGCAUCUAAGCACGAAACUUGCCCCGAGAUGAGUUCUCCCUGACUCCUUGAGAGUCCUGAAGGAACGUUGAAGACGACGACGUUGAUAGGCCGGGUGUGUAAGCGCAGCGAUGCGUUGAGCUAACCGGUACUAAUGAACCGUGAGGCUUAACCUU
rnacentral:rRNA from 1 species